GAUGAACGCUGGCGGCGUGCCUAAUACAUGCAAGUCGAGCGAACAGACGAGGAGCUUGCUCCUCUGACGUUAGCGGCGGACGGGUGAGUAACACGUGGAUAACCUACCUAUAUGACUGGGAUAACUUCGGGAAACCGGAGCUAAUACCGGAUAAUAUAUUGAACCGCAUGGUUCAAUAGUGAAAGACGGUUUUGCUGUCACUUAUAGAUGGAUCCGCGCCGCAUUAUCUAGUUGGUAAGGUAACGGCUUACCAAGGCAACGAUGCGUAGCCGACCUGAGAGGGUGAUCGGCCACACUGGAACUGAGACACGGUCCAGACUCCUACGGGAGGCAGCAGUAGGGAAUCUUCCGCAAUGGGCGAAAGCCUGACGGAGCAACGCCGCGUGAGUGAUGAAGGUCUUCGGAUCGUAAAGCUCUGUUAUUGGGGAAGAACAAAUGUGUAAGUAACUAUGCACGUCUUGACGGUACCUAAUCAGAAAGCCACGGCUAACUACGUG
rnacentral:rRNA from 1 species